UUUUCAACAACAGUAAAGAAAUGAGAAUAUCUGAAUGAGUUAAUCACAUUUGGAUUAUUAUUAUUAUUAUUAUUAUUAUUAUUAUUAUUAUUAUUAUGAUACUUGGAUUAUUUUGAAGACGUCAGUGAUGAGCGUUCAGGCUGAUGCAGAGACAAACAGUUUCAGUCUGUCCACGAUGGCUGGUAGUGAUGACAGCGACGAAGAGACCAGUCAAGAGGAACAGCCAAUCACAAGCUGGAAUGACCUGUCCAUCAUAGAGCGGGUGGGACUCAACAGGUGACCCAGACCAGCAUCAGAACCUGAUACAGGGUAGUUGACAUAUGCACUGGUGUCACUGACCGCUUAAUAACUGUCCAAUUUUCUUUUUAUCUGACA